UUAUCCUACGGGAGGCAGCAGUGAGGAAUAUUGGUCAAUGGCCGAGAGGCUGAACCAGCCAAGUCGCGUGAGGGAAGACGGCCCUACGGGUUGUAAACCUCUUUUGUCGGGGAGCAAAGCGAGUCACGUGUGACUCAUUGAGAGUACCCGAAGAAAAAGCAUCGGCUAACUCCGUGCCAGCAGCCGCGGUAAUACGUAGGGGGCAAGCGUUAUCCGGAUUUACUGGGUGUAAAGGGAGCGUAGACGGCAGUGCAAGUCUGGAGGGAAAGGCGGGGGCUCAACCCCCGGACUGCUCUGGAAACUGU
rnacentral:rRNA from 1 species